rnacentral:rRNA from 1 species
GACAGAGGGUGCAAACGUUGUUCGGAUUUACUGGGCGUAAAGCGCACGUAGGCGGAUCGUUAAGUCAGGGGUGAAAUCCUGGAGCUCAACUCCAGAACUGCCUUUGAUACUGGCGAUCUUGAGUCCGGAAGAGGUGAGUGGAACUCCUAGUGUAGAGGUGGAAUUCGUAGAUAUUAGGAAGAACACCAGUGGCGAAGGCGGCUCACUGGUCCGGUACUGACGCUGAGGUGCGAAAGCGUGGGGAGCAAACAGG